rnacentral:rRNA from 1 species
AUGCGCCGCCAAGGCCUGGACCCGCACGAGCUGGACCGGAGCACGGAGCAGCUCAUGUCGCUCAUCCACGGCAACCUCCCGGACCCGCCCGUCUCCACCACCGCCCGCCUCACUGCCUUCCGCGCGCGCCCCUCCGACGGCGUGGACCGCAUCAGCCGCCUCUCCGACGCGCUCCUCCGCGACAUCGUCUCCCGUCUCCCUGUCAAGGACGCCGCCCGCACCGCCGCGCUCGCCGCGCGCUGGCGCGGGGUCUGGCGAUCGACGCCGCUCGUCCUCGUGGACACCCACCUGGUCUCGUCCGCGCGCGCCAGCACGCCGGACGUCAUCGCGGCAGUCUCCCGCGUCCUCGCCGCGCACCAGGGGCCCUUCCGCUGCGUCCACCUCACCUGCAGCCGCAUGGGCGCGUACCAGGCCCAGCUCAAGCGCUGGCUCCGUCUCCUCGCCGCCAGGGGCGUCCAGGAGCUCGUCCUCGUCAACCGACCGUGGCUCCGCGAGGUGCCCCUCCCCAAGACGCUCUUCACCAUCUCCACCCUCACCCGCCUCUACAUCGGAGUCUGGAAGUUCCCGGACGCGGCUGGCCUCUAA